rnacentral:rRNA from 1 species
UACAGAGGGUGCAAGCGUUAAUCGGAAUUACUGGGCGUAAAGCGUGCGUAGACGGUUAUGUAAGUCGGGUGUGAAAGCCCCGGGCUCAACCUGGGAAUUGCAUUCGAGACUGCAUAGCUAGAGUGCGGAAGAGGGAAGCGGAAUUUCCGGUGUAGCGGUGAAAUGCGUAGAUAUCGGAAGGAAUACCAGUGGCGAAAGCGGCUUCCUGGUCCAGCACCGACGUUCAGGCACGAAAGCGUGGGGAGCAAACAGG